GAUGAAGAACGCAGCGAAAUGCGAUAAGUAGUGUGAAUUGCAGAAUUCAGUGAAUCAUCGAAUCUUUGAACGCACAUUGCGCCCCUUGGUAUUCCGGGGGGCAUGCCUCUUCCAGCGUCAUUUCACCCCUCAAGCUCUGCUUGGUUUUGGGCCGCGCCGGCAACGGCGGGCCUCGAAAAUAGUGGCGACGCCAUCGUGCUCUCAGCGUAGUAAUUCUUCUCGCUGUUGGGUCCCGGUGGUCGUCCGCCAGCAACCCCCAACUUUCUUAAGUUUGACCUGGGAUGAGGUAGGGAUACCCGCUGAACUUAAGCAUAUCAAUAAGCGGAGGA
rnacentral:misc_RNA from 1 species